rnacentral:rRNA from 1 species
CCUACGGGAGGCAGCAGUGAGGAAUAUUGGUCAAUGGACGGAAGUCUGAACCAGCCAUGCCGCGUGCAGGAAGACGGCUCUAUGAGUUGUAAACUGCUUUUGUACAAGGGUAAACCAGAAUACGUGUAUGCAGCUGAAAGUACUGUACGAAUAAGGAUCGGCUAACUCCGUGCCAGCAGCCGCGGUAAUACGGAGGAUCCAAGCGUUAUCCGGAUUUAUUGGGGUUAAAGGGUGCGUAGGCGGAUUGAUAAGUUAGAGGUGAAAUGUCCGAGCUUAACUCGGGAACUGCCUCGAAUACGGUUGAUCUAGAGUGUAGAUGCGGUAGGCGGAAUGUUUGGUGUAGCGGU